UUGCAAUGAUGACCAUCUUAGGACACCUUUGGAAUAAUCAUGAAAGCAAUGGUAAUGUUCUGAGCUUC